rnacentral:rRNA from 1 species
UGGUUGAUCCUGCCAGUAGUGUAUGCUUCUCCUAAAGACUAAGCCAUGCAUGCCUUCGAAUAAGAGGAAGCAAUUCUCUCUGAAUCUGCGAACGGCUCCGCAAACCAGUUGUAAACUAUAGCAAGCAAGCCUUGUGCCUGCCUUCACGGGUGGGCGCUUGGCGAUAUGGAUAACCCUGGUAAUUCUGAGGCUAAUACAAGAACGUAAAACCUGGCUGACUGCUCACGUGGAAGGCUGGGGGACGUGCGAGUUGUGUCGCGAGAAUUUUCCGGGAAUGGACGCACGUUCAGACCGCGCUAAAAAGGAUCGGUUCCCCUUCACGGGGGGGCUGGCCCCAGCGGCUCUUGCUUUGUGCUUCUGACCUAUCAACUAGAUGGCAGCGUAACGGACAUGCUAUGGUGACAACGGGUACAGAGGAUUAGGGUUUGAUCCUGGAGAGUGGGCCUGAGAGAUUGCUCAUACUUCUAAGGAAGGCAGCAGGCGCGCAACGUUCCCCUUGGGCAAAGCUUGAGGGCGUUAGGGGACAUAUGAAUGCCUGCCCUAUGGGUGGGCAAUUCAAAUGGGUCUGUUGUAAACAGGCUCUCGAGUAACAAUUAGAGGACAAGUC